rnacentral:rRNA from 1 species
AUGAACGCUGGCGGCUGCUUAACACAUGCAAGUCGAACGGAGUGGCGAACGGGUGAGUAACGCGUGAGCAACCUGCCUAUGACAGGGGGAUAGCCUCGGGAAACCGGGAUUAAUACCGCAUAGUCAUAGAUGGGCUCGCGUCUGAUUAGUUAGUUGGUGAGGUAACAGCCCACCAAGGCGACGAUCAGUAGCCGGGCUGGGAGGAGGAACGGGCCAAUUUGAAAUUAGACACCGUCCAAAAUCCUACGGGAAGGAGGAGUGGGGAAAAUUGCACAAUGGGGGAAACCCUGAUGGAGCGACGGCGCGUGAACGAAGAAGGUAUUCGUAUCGUAAAGUUCUUUCCUAUGGGAAGCAGUACCAUAGGAGAAAGCACCGGCUAAAUACGUGCCAGCCGCCGCGGUAAUAC